GGUUUUAUAGUCUAAUGAAGACGCUAGGCUGCAAUUCUGGAAAUGUAGGAAACUACUAAAGCUU
rnacentral:tRNA from 1 species